ensembl:lncRNA
CAAGAAUGCCGGCUCACUGUGCUGCAUACAGUUACACACUGCGUCGUACGAUUGAGACAAGGAAACUUGGAAUGACUUUUUAAAGGUUUCCCAGAGACUAUGGGCUGAGGAGGAAGUAGGAAGUAGCUCUGAGGAGAGAGGAGUUUGCUGCACAUGAUGAGUGGGUGCUCUGCAGUGAUCAUUUUAAACCUGUGAGUUUGACAGGGCUGGGCAGGUUUGUCGGCUUAGACCUGGUGUCAUUCCAUCAGUGUUAAACUUCCCGGCUCAUCUUGGAAGAGUACGUGCCAGAAAGACCACGACCAAGCAGCCUUGAGAUCUUAGGCAGUGUCUCCCUGAGGUGGGUGUCAACAGUGUUCACAGUCAGGUCUGUGGUAAUCCCGUCAAAAAACAAAACAGAAAAAAAUCAAGAUUAUAAAUCAACAUGUAACCAAAGCACUCUGUGUAUAACGCCAUAGUAUAGGAUGUAGUUCAGAAAGUGUCAAAGUAUAGUAUACUUUACUCAAGAAUAACAUAGUAUGGCCUGUAGUUCAUAGUACAGCAUGUCGGCAAAAAAACCCCAUAGAUUAUUAUGUGGUUCAAAAAGCGCAAAAUGAUAGGAUGUUGCCUAAAAUUGUCAUGUAUGAUGUGUGGUUCAAAAAAUGUCAUAGUGCAAUAUAUUGUCAAAAUAGUAUGUAAUUCAAGAAAACAGAGUAUAAUAUGUCGUCUAAAAAAAUGCCAUAGAAUAAUAUUUCAUUGCACAAGUAAAAGUAUAGUAACUUUUAAAACUGUUCAAAUUCUUAUAUGUUACUAAAAAACAACAAAAAAAACUAAAACAAAAAAAACGUCAGUAAUAUGUCACUUAAAAAAGCCUAUAGUAUAGCGUGUCGCCCAACAAACAUCAUAGUAUAGCAUGUCACUCUAAAAACGUCACAGUAUAGCCUUUAGUCCACAGCUGUCAGUAGGUGAGGAGCCACACAAAAACAGUCCAAACGCUGGUUUCCAGAGGGUUAGACGAGAAUUUAUUUGAAAGAGUAAGUUUACAACAACACAACAUGUGAGGGGGUUAAAAACAAAUGGGUGUUAGUAAAAUAAAAAUAAAUAAACAGAGCUAAAAGUGAACUUCCUGUUGACAUUAAUGGACAUUCCAACCAGGAACAAAGUAAAAGAUAAUCAAUACAAAAAAAACUCUUCCUGUUCACCUCUUAAAACCCAAAAACACACCGCAGUAGCACCCUAAACUAAAACUACCAAUGGGUUCCCUGUUUUCCUUUCUGAACAAUUCAAAGGUCCCUCUCUAUCUCCCCACACAUCCACCAACCACUGGAACACAUCUCCAAUGUUCUGCUGGACCAGCUCAGCUUCCCCUCAGAAGAAGUGGUGCCACCUGCCAGAUGAAGGAGCCUUUUGAGAGGCAGCUGGCAUCGUGAUUGGACUGUACUUUGGUCUGUUCCAAUCCAGCUUCAGCUCCAGAGACGGCAGGCGGGACGAGUCAACGGAGGCCUGGUGGACGAAGGCAUGCAGCUGAGUACAAUCCAGAAAACAACAGAGGAGGAGUGCAGCAGCCCAGAGCCAGAACAACCAGAGUAGCAUCGUAUGUCUCUUAGAAAACAUCAUAGUAUAGCCUUUGCUAUGAAAAAACACCAUCAUAUACAUCGUAGAUUGUACAAAUAACAAG